rnacentral:rRNA from 1 species
AGUGAACGCUGGCGGUAGGCCUAACACAUGCAAGUCGAACGGCAGCACAGUAAGAGCUUGCUCUUACGGGUGGCGAGUGGCGGGCGGGUGAGGAAUACAUCGGAAUCUACUUUUUCGUGGGGGAUAACGUAGGGAAACUUACGCUAAUACCGCAUACGACCUACGGGUGAAAGCAGGGGAUCUUCGGACCUUGCGCGAUUGAAUGAGCCGAUGUCGGAUUAGCUAGUUGGCGGGGUAAAGGCCCACCAAGGCGACGAUCCGUAGCUGGUCUGAGAGGAUGAUCAGCCACACUGGAACGGAGACACGGUCCAGACUCCUACGGGAGGCAGCAGUGGGGAAUAUUGGACAAUGGGCGCAAACCUGAUCCAGCCAUACCGCGUGGGUGAAGAAGGCCUUCGGAUUGUAAAGCCCUUUUGUUGGGAAAGAAAAGCAGCAGGUUAAUACCCCGCUGUUCUGACGGUACCCAAAGAAUAAGCACCGGCUAACUUCGUG